rnacentral:rRNA from 1 species
GAUGAACGCUGGCGGCGUGCUUAACACAUGCGAGUCGAACGAUGAAGCCCAGCUUGCUGGGUGGAUUAGUGGCGAACGGGUGAGUAACACGUGAGUAACCUGCCCUUAACUCUGGGAUAAGCCUGGGAAACUGGGUCUAAUACCGGAUAGGAGCGUCCACCGCAUGGUGGGUGUUGGAAAGAUUUAUCGGUUUUGGAUGGACUCGCGGCCUAUCAGCUUGUUGGUGAGGUAAUGGCUCACCAAGGCGACGACGGGUAGCCGGCCUGAGAGGGUGACCGGCCACACUGGGACUGAGACACGGCCCAGACUCCUACGGGAGGCAGCAGUGGGGAAUAUUGCACAAUGGGCGAAAGCCUGAUGCAGCGACGCCGCGUGAGGGAUGACGGCCUUCGGGUUGUAAACCUCUUUCAGUAGGGAAGAAGCGAAAGUGACGGUACCUGCAGAAGAAGCACCGGCUAACUACGUG